rnacentral:rRNA from 1 species
UACGGGGGGGGGCAAGCGUUGUUCGGAAUUACUGGGCGUAAAGGGCUCGUAGGUGGCCAACUAAGUCAGACGUGAAAUCCCUCAGCUUAACUGGGGAACUGCGUCUGAUACUGGAUGGCUUGAGUUUGGGAGAGGGAUGCGGAAUUCCAGGUGUAGCGGUGAAAUGCGUAGAUAUCUGGAGGAACACCGAUGGCGAAGGCGGCAUCCUGGACCGGCAUUGACGCUGAGGCGCGAAAGCCAGGGGAGCAAACGGG